GUGAGGAAUAUUGGUCAAUGGGCGAGAGCCUGAACCAGCCAAGUCGCGUGAAGGAAGAAGGAUCUAUGGUUCGUAAACUUCUUUUGCAGGGGAAUAAAGUGCAGGACGUGUCCUGUUUUGUAUGUACCCUGAGAAUAAGGAUCAGCUAACUCCGUGCCAGCAGCCGCGGUAAUACGGAGGAUCCGAGCGUUAUCCGGAUUUAUUGGGUUUAAAGGGUGCGUAGGUGGUUUGAUAAGUCAGCGGUGAAAGUUUGCAGCUUAACUGUAAAAAUGCCGUUGAAACUGUCGGACUUGAGUGUAAAUGAGGUAGGCGGAAUGCGUGGUGUAGCGGGGAAAUGCAUAGAUAUCACGCAGAACUCCGAUUGCGAAGGCAGCUUACUAAGCUACAACUGACACUGAAGCAUGAAAGCGUGGGGAUCAAACAGGAUUAGAUACCCUGGUAGUCC
rnacentral:rRNA from 1 species